rnacentral:tRNA from 4 species
GGCCCCGUAGCUCAGUUGGAUAGAGCAUCAGCCUUCUAAGCUGAGGGUCGCGCGUUCGAAUCGCGCCGGGGUCA